GUCCUCUUGUUUAUAUAGGAGGUCUGACCUGCCCGGUGAAUAUUUUUUAACGGCCGCGGUAUUUUGACCGUGCAAAGGUAGCAUAAUCAUUAGUCUUUUAAUAGAGGGCUGGAAUGAAGGGUUUGACGAAGUACUGACUGUCUCAUUUAAUUUGAAGGUAGAAUUUAACUUUUCAGUCAAAAGGCUGAAAUGAAAUUGGAAGACGAGAAGACCCUAUAGAGCUUUAUAGUUAAGGGUUUAAUUAGUUUUUGUUUAUUACUGCUAAUUAUAAUUUUAAUUAUUUUGUUGGGGUGACAAAAAUAUAUAAUCAACUUUUUUAUUAGUUUAACAUUGAUUUAUGAAUUUAGGAUCCAGUCUUACUGAUUAUUAGAUUAAGUUACCUUAGGGAUAACAGCGUAAUCUUCCUUCAGAGUUCAUAUUUACAGGAAGGCUUGCGACCUCGAUGUUGGAUUAAGAAUAUAGCUAGGUGUAGCCGCUUAGUUUAUAGGUCUGUUCGACCUUUAAAUUCUU
rnacentral:rRNA from 1 species